UGCAGAUAAACAGGAAGAGAGAGGAU
rnacentral:piRNA from 1 species